rnacentral:rRNA from 1 species
AUUGGACGCUGGCGGCAUGCCUUACACAUGCAAGUCGAACGGCAGCGCGGGAGCAAUCCUGGCGGCGAGUGGCGAACGGGUGAGUAAUACAUCGGAACGUGCCCAAUCGUGGGGGAUAACGCAGCGAAAGCUGUGCUAAUACCGCAUACGAUCUACGGAUGAAAGCAGGGGAUCGCAAGACCUUGCGCGAAUGGAGCGGCCGAUGGCAGAUUAGGUAGUUGGUGAGGUAAAGGCUCACCAAGCCUUCGAUCUGUAGCUGGUCUGAGAGGACGACCAGCCACACUGGGACUGAGACACGGCCCAGACUCCUACGGGAGGCAGCAGUGGGGAAUUUUGGACAAUGGGCGAAAGCCUGAUCCAGCCAUGCCGCGUGCAGGAUGAAGGCCUUCGGGUUGUAAACUGCUUUUGUACGGAACGAAACGGUCUUUUCUAAUAAAGAAGGCUAAUGACGGUACCGUAAGAAUAAGCACCGGCUAACUACGUG